UAAAUGGCGAAGACGGAGACAGUAGGGGCAGCGGAAGACAAAGCGAGCCGGGGAUGGUGAGAGCCCGGUGCGGAAGCCGCCAGCGAAAAUCACUCCGGAGCCGGACCGCGGAAACCCAGUACGCGGUCCCGUCACACCCCGUUACGGUGUCCGAGAGGCGGUGCGCGUGCGCGCCGCAAUGAGGGUGGUAUCGCGGGCAGAGGCUCCGUCCCUUUU
rnacentral:ncRNA from 1 species